rnacentral:tRNA from 1 species
GCCUGACUGGCUCAGUCAGUAGAGCAGGUGACUCUUGAUCUCAGGGUCAUGAGUUCAAGCCCCACGUUGGGCA